AUGGGCCAGAGUGUCUCCCCGCAUCUGACUCUGGCCCAGGGCACAGAGGUCACACAGCUGCCCAUCUGCCCCCCAGUCCUGGCAGCAACUUGUCAGAUUGCCUUGGAAGCUUGCUCACAACAGGACGUGCUCUUCCUAUCUCUGCUCCUGGGGAGCCCCGGGUCUUCCCCCCAGAACACCUCUGGGAAGCAGCGUGAUCUGCCUCUUACUCUGUGUGGGUGCAGGCCUGGUCAUGUCAAAAUCCUGCUCCUCUGUGCCCUUUUCAAGAAGAGAGACUGUGAGUGUUUGCUGAAGCUGAAAGCUGCCCCCUCCGCUGGACGCCCAGAAACCGGUGCCGCCCUCCUCACCCCUCCUCAGGCCUCCAGAGGGCAGAGCCACAGAGACGAGGGGAAAGACUUCAAAGCAAACACACAAACAACUGUUGCAAUGGUUGACGCUGAUCCUGGAGCCAGUACCCCAGUCUCACGGCAGCCGGAAGCCAGUAGACAAAGGUUCCCUGUGUCUGAGCAGGUUCUGAGGGGCAGGAAUCCAUCCCAGUGGCCAGGGUUUCCACCUCGCCGGCCCCAAGGGGGCCCCUAGCCGGGAAGUCACGUGGGCUGGUAAUCAGAAACAGAACAACAAACUGAAGCAACAGAAUCCCUGGUUUUUAGUGACUAAGUUGUUUUUCCCCAAGGACUUCCCCAUGUCCUAGUACUUAGAACCUCUUUGGAUGUGAACCUAGGAGUCUUAGUUCAAUUUCUUUAAGGCUUAGCUUACUGAGGGAAAGGAUUAACUCCCAAAUGAGAAUUUCUCCUGUAUACCGGAUAUUGGAAAAGGGUUUACAUUCAAUUCCGGGCAUUUUGAACGCUGUUCUAGAAUCUGAGCUUCUUCGUGCUGCCCUUAGGUCUAAAAGCAGAACUUCUGGGGCACCUGGGUAGCUCAGUUGUUCGGCUCUCGAUCCCAGGGUCCUGAGGUGGGGACCUGGGUUGGGCUCCACACUGGGCAUGAAGCCUACUUAAAAGUAAAUAAAUACAAAUUAAAAAUUAAUAUUGCA
rnacentral:lncRNA from 1 species